rnacentral:rRNA from 1 species
AUUGAACGCUGGCGGCAGGCUUAACACAUGCAAGUCGAGCGGGGUGAUGGUGCUUGCACUAUCACUUAGCGGCGGACGGGUGAGUAAUGCUUAGGAAUCUGCCUAUUAGUGGGGGACAACAUCUCGAAAGGGAUACUAAUACCGCAUACGUCCUACGGGAGAAAGCAGGGGAUCACUUGUGACCUUGCGCUAAUAGAUGAGCCUAAGUCGGAUUAGCUAGUUGGUGGGGUAAAGGCCUACCAAGGCGACGAUCUGUAGCGGGUCUGAGAGGACGAUCCGCCACACUGGGACUGAGACACGGCCCAGACUCCUACGGGAGGCAGCAGUGGGGAAUAUUGGACAAUGGGGGGAACCCUGAUCCAGCCAUGCCGCGUGUGUGAAGAAGGCCUUAUGGUUGUAAAGCACUUUAAGCGAGGAGGAGGCUCUUUUGGUUAAUACCCAAGAUGAGUGGACGUUACUCGCAGAAUAAGCACCGGCUAACUCUGUGCCAGCAGCCGCGGUAA